GGGAAAGGAAACAAAGGGAAAAGAAUACCAUUAGUUUCAUAAUUGGAAGAUAGGUUAGGGUCAUCAUACCAAAACGUUUACAAGUUCUGUAUGACUGGGAUUAGGUAUAUAAUACCAGCAAACUAAGCGAAAGAUGCAAUGCAAUAGAACCAUAAUUCAAGAGCUACCUGUGGUCCUGUUACAAGCUCUAGUAACCAUAACUUUUUCUCCGGGGGGCAGAGUU
rnacentral:misc_RNA from 1 species